GACGAACGCUGGCGGCGUGCUUAACACAUGCGAGUCGAACGAAGAGCGAUGGAAGCUUGCUUCUAUCAAUCUUAGUGGCGAACGGGUGAGUAACGCGUAAUCAACCUGCCCUUCAGAGGGGGACAACAGUUGGAAACGACUGCUAAUACCGCAUACGAUCUAAUCUCGGCAUCGAGGAAAGAUGAAAGGUGGCCUCUAUUUAUAAGCUAUCACUGAAGGAGGGGAUUGCGUCUGAUUAGCUAGUUGGAGGGGUAACGGCCCACCAAGGCGAUGAUCAGUAGCCGGUCUGAGAGGAUGAACGGCCACAUUGGGACUGAGACACGGCCCAGACUCCUACGGGAGGCAGCAGUGGGGAAUCUUCCGCAAUGGACGAAAGUCUGACGGAGCAACGCCGCGUGAGUGAUGACGGCCUUCGGGUUGUAAAGCUCUGUUAAUCGGGACGAAAGGCCUUCUUGCGAACAGUUAGAAGGAUUGACGGUACCGGAAUAGAAAGCCACGGCUAACUACGUG
rnacentral:rRNA from 1 species